UAAGAGGAGGGGGAGGGCGCGGAGCCCCGUGGGCGGCCGGAAGACCGGCGGGCGCUGACUGCGACCACCGCUCUCGGGCAGCGGACGCGCUUUGGAAGACAAGUGGAAAACUACGAUAAAAAAAACAUAGCCAUGAAAACAAGUGAGAUUAAAACCUGCCGGCUUCACUUCCUGGAGGCUUUUUGUUGGCUCUUGAAACUAGAAGUCUUUGCGGGUCAUCCUUGCGACUUCCCUGGUGGCGCAGUGGUUAAGGAUCCGCCUGCCAAUGCAGGAGACACGGGUUCGAGCCCUGGUCCGGGAAGAUCCCACAUGCCGCGGAGCAACUAAGCCCGCGAGCCACAACUAGUGAGCCCUCGCGCCACAACUACUGAAGCCCAGGCACCUAGAGCCUGUGCUCUGCAACCAGAGAAGCUACCACAGUGAGAAGCCCGUGCACCGCAAUGAAGAGUAGCCCCUGCUCACCGCAACUACAGAAAGCCCACGCUCAGCAAUGAAGACCCAACGCAGCCAAAAAUAAAUAAAUUUUUUAAAAUAAAUAAAAUUAAAAAUAAAAAUCAGGAUAUUUCACAGGGAAAGCUGGACUUUUGGCUUCUCUUCUUUGGCUGCGAGUUUUCUGCCCCAGACAAAUCACUUCAUCUGGUGUUUGGCCUUUUUAUAAGGAUUAUUAAAGUCAUAGGUGUUUCAGACAUUUUCUGUCUAGACCUAAUGCAUGUAUAAUUAAAACCUCAAAUCUUGAUUUCCAGAAAUUCAUCUUGACGGAUUCAACCAAUCAGAAACUGAGUCUGCGUACAUUCCCUAAAGACAGGCGCUACGGAAUGUCCGGAUUCCCUCCAUUCUGCGUUUGCCCGAGAUGCAGCAAGACAUAGGGGUGUGUGUGGUCUCAGGAAUUAAACAGACCUGGUUUGGAUUCCCACUAGGGACUUGCUGUGCAGUGUUAGGCACGUUAUUUACUAUCCUUGAGCUUGUUUCCUUAAAAAUAGAUAUACUAAAACUACCCCUUUGAAUUAUUGAAUAUUAAACAGUUACAUGUGAAAGCAUCUUAAACAGUCCCUGGUCCAUGGAGGAACCACGCAAAAUAUUAAUUUCUCAUGCCCUUGGGAUUUCAGUUACUAAUGCGGAUACUUGAGAGAGAAUUCUUACUAGAUCUUUUUUCUUGUCUACGAAAUCCUACUUUAGUAGAAUUCAGACUUUGGUGUGUGUAGGAGACUUAGCCGGAUACUUGAUUACAGUGCUAGUUUCUGGGUCCCUCUUCUAAGAUGUAGGAAGUCUCAAGUAGGGCCCUGGGGUUUGACAUUUUAACGUUUAAUUCUGGGGCACGAGUCCUCAGCCCUCCCUCUGACAGUCCCCGUUCUGGACUUGGCCCUGGUCAUUCAAGGGAGUGAGGUGGAGACAGAGGAAGGCCUGAGCUGAGUCCCAGGCUGGUCCCGGCCAGCUUGCUGACCCCGAGGCUAGAUUGGAUGCCUCCCUGGGUCCCCAUUGCUAGCUCCUGGAUCCACAGGCAUUUAUUGAGCACCUUCUGGAAAGUGCCCUGAGCAGGCACCAGGCAGGCGAGGCAAAUGAAGGGGUUCCUGUCCUCGGGGAGCUCAGGGAACUGAAUUCCAAGGUCAGGCCUGGCAUUUGGAUCCCUGUUUCUGCCUUUCUUACCGUCCAGCAUUUAAUACCGUCCCAAAUGGCUGUAUUCCCAAAGACACUCCUUGAUCUCAUCAGCGCCUCUCUCCCCCCAUUCCCCUGCCCAGAGCCAUGCUUUCCCAGGCCACGCUGC